CUCUAUGGCCAUCCCACCCUGAAUAUGCCCUGUCUUGUCUGAUCUCCGAAGUUAAGCAGGGUUGGGCCUGGCUGGUACUUGGAUG
rnacentral:rRNA from 1 species